CUGAGUUCUAAACUCCAACCCUAUGUGAACUUACCACUGUUGCCUCGGCGUGUGCUCGCGACAGCAGCCCGCCAGUGGGCCUUUAAACUCUGAUAUUACCACUGUAUCUCUGAAUUUCUUAACUGAAAUACGUUA
rnacentral:misc_RNA from 1 species